UUGAUAAACAAAAAUGUUUGAUAGACCGGGUAAAUAAAAUGAUAGACUGUCUUCUUUAUUAAUGUGCUGUAACUAUGACUGGUUCGAUAAGUUACAAGUGAAACCUGUGUCACCUAUUGAAUCUCUUGGCUGUACCUAACCUCAGAUCACCAAAUACUGGGCCUCAGGUUAUGCCACAUUCUUCCUAGGGCUUCUGGGAUGGUUAGUUAAGCCACAAGCACGCCAAUGAGACAAUAUAUCCAUACAAUAUAUCCAACAUAAUUCAUAAUAUAUAACUGAGUUGCUCCAGUAAUCGAAAAGCAAAACAAAGAGGCAAAGAAGAGAGAAAAAAGGAAAAAGGCUAAAGAUUUUGUGUGGCCUUUUUGGGAAAAAUAACUCAAGAAACCCCCGUAAACUCUAUCCAGCUUUUAAUUAACUAAGAAAAAUCCGCCUAAAGCGAUAUAGACUAAAAAAAUGUAGAAGUAAGAUAGGGUUUCUUUUAAAAUCCGCAUUAAGCGAAACUGAUCAUCGAAAUGAUCAAGGUGCCAACUUUGAGUCCUAUUUAAGCUUUAUCCCCCAAGAGGAUGAGUAUUCAAAAUUACUGCUUUUUGAUUAGUUGAUCCUGACACCUAUCAACCUUUGACACCAUUAGGUACGGUACUGAACCACCAAUAGACAUACAACCAGAUAACCAAGAUAGAACCUUCCCCAGAAACUGAAUUUUGACAUGCUAUUUAUUUAUAACCUCAACAAAAUAUUACUCACAAACAAUAAUAAACAUGUCCAAAUUAAAUGAACAAAUCAAACUCAAAACCGAUGGCAAAUAACUCAUUUAAAAUCCUUCAAUUAUCACAAGAUAUAUAAUAUCUCCAUCAUGUUUCCUAGGGUAAGCUACAAUAAUAAGCUCAGGGCAACAUCAGAGGACUAUGCAGAGUAAUAAGACGAAGAACAUCCUUGUAUAAAAGAAUGAUCUUAAGCUCGAGAAAAUGGACGAGUGCUAGCGCAGCUUAAAUUUUACGAAAAGUGCUGGACUAAAAAUGUAAUCUAAUAUCCAUUUAUUGGUGAGCCAAAAUGUUGUAACAUGAAAGUUACCUAAAUAUUGACAUUUCGUUAAGUAAAAUGUAAUUAAUUAA